GCACUGGUGGUUCGGUGGUAGAAUUCUCGCCUGCCACUCGGAAGGCCCGGGUUCGAUUCCCGGCCAGUGCA
rnacentral:tRNA from 1 species